AGGAGUCGGACCUGCCCGGUGACUGAUAUUGUUAAACGGCCGCGGUACUCUAACCGUGCAAAGGUAGCAUAAUCAUUUGCCUUUUAAUUGGAGGCUGGUAUGAAUGGUUUGACGAGAGCUAUGCUGUCUCUUUUGGAAUAUUUAAAAAUUAACUUUUAGGUGAAGAGGCCUAAAUUUGUUUAAGGGACAAGAAGACCCUGUUGAGCUUUAGUAAAAUUAUAAGUGUAGUAGGGCUUGUGCGGGCUUCCGCGCUAGUUAUUAUGUAGUUAUUAUAAUAAUAGGCUUGUAAUUAAUCUUUAGUUGGGGCGACUGANGGAACAUAUAAAGCUUCCUUAUUUAUAAACAUUAAUGUAAUGUUUGAGGUUUUAAAUGUUUUUUGCAUUAUUUUGAUCCAAUUUGUUUUGAUUAAAAGAAAAAGUUACCACAGGGGAUAACAGCGUUAAUCUUUCUGGAGAGAUCUAAUCGAAAGAAGGGUUUGCGACCUCGAUGUUNGGCUAAAAAAUCCUAAGGGUGCAGAACCCCUUAAAAGGUUGGUCUGUUCGCCAUUAAAAUCUUNCCUGACCUG
rnacentral:rRNA from 1 species